rnacentral:rRNA from 1 species
CCUUCAGUCUAGAGUUGACCGUACCGCAAACCGACACAGGUGGGCAGGAUGAAAAUUCUAAGGCGCUUGAGAGAACUCAGGAGAAGGAACUCGGCAAAUUAACACCGUAACUUCGGGAGAAGGUGUGCCCCGGUAGCGUGUAGAGACUUGCUCUCGAAGCGCGAUGGGGUUGCAGUGAAAUGGUGGCUGCGACUGUUUAAUAAAAACACAGCACUCUGCAAACACGAAAGUGGACGUAUAGGGUGUGACGCCUGCCCGGUGCCGGAAGGUUAAGUGAUGGGGUGCAAGCUCUUGAUCGAAGCCCCGGUAAACGGCGGCCGUAACUAUAACGGUCCUAAGGUAGCGAAAUUCCUUGUCGGGUAAGUUCCGACCUGCACGAAUGGCGUAACGAUGGCCACACUGUCUCCUCCUGGGACUCAGCGAAGUUGAAAUGUUUGUGAAGAUGCAAUCUACCCGCGGCUAGACGGAAAGACCCCAUGAACCUUUACUGUAGCUUUGCAUUGGACUUUGAACCGGUUUGUGUAGGAUAGGUGGGAGACUGUGAGGCCGGGACGCUAGUUUCGGUGGAGUCAACCUUGAAAUACCACCCUGAUUUGUUUGAGGUUCUAACCUUGGUCCGUGAAUCCGGAUCGGGGACCGUGCAUGGUAGGCAGUUUGACUGGGGCGGUCUCCUCCCAAAAGGUAACGGAGGAGUACGAAGGUACGCUUAGGGCGGUCGGACAUCGCCCACAAAGUGCAAUGGCAAAAGCGUGCUUGACUGCGAGACCCACAAGUCGAGCAGGUACGAAAGUAGGUCAUAGUGAUCCGGUGGUUCUGUAUGGAAGGGCCAUCGCUCAACGGAUAAAAGGUACUCUGUGGAUAACAGGCUAAUUCCUCCCAAGAGUUCAUAUCGACGGGGGAGUUUGGCACCUCGAUGUCGGCUCAUCACAUCCUGGGGCUGUAGUCGGUCCCAAGGGUAUGGCUGUUCGCCAUUUAAAGUGGUACGCGAGCUGGGUUUAAAACGUCGUGAGACAGUUUGGUCCCUAUCUGCCGUGGGCGCUGGAAAUUUGAAGGGGGCUGCUCCUAGUACGAGAGGACCGGAGUGGACGAACCUCUGGUGUACCGGUUAUGACGCCAGUCGUAUCGCCGGGUAGCUAAGUUCGGAAGAGAUAAGCGCUGAAAGCAUCUAAGCGUGAAACUCGCCUUAAGAUAAGAUUUCCCGGAGUCUUGAACUCCCUGAAGGGUCGUCGAAGACCACGACGUUGAUAGGUCAGGUGUGGAAGCGCAGCAAUGCGUUAAGCUAACUGAU